CGAUGAAUUAAAGGACGCUUACAAAUAUUCAAGAUCAAUGAAAGACAAAGGCAUUCUUAUUGUUGGUGUUGCUGUUGGCUGGCCAUCUAUAGUGAAAAAGUUUAAGCCAGUCAUUAAGAAAAUAUCAACUUCAGAAAAGACAACAUUUGACACAGAAUUUGAUUCUCUGAACGAAAUACUGAACAAAAUUGUUGAUGCCUUCUGUACGUCUUUUUUACCAGGUCACUGUAGCUGUUCGUCUUUUCAAUCUUCAACUGUUUACAUCAAUUCAUCAAAAAAAGCGGUGACUGUAAGUUGGCCAAUACCAGUUCGAUGUAGAACGAACAGAGUUCCUCAAUAUACGAUGACGAUUAAACCAAAUAUCACAUCCCCACACGAUUUUACUGUUGGGAAUCAUCGUAUUGAAUAUACUUUCACAUUCAGAGAAGGAUUUUAUCUUAAAUGUUACAUAGAUAUUAAAGUUGAAAGUAAGUAUUGAC